rnacentral:rRNA from 1 species
GACGAACGCUGGCGGCGUGCUUAACACAUGCAAGUCGAACGGAAAGGCCCUGCUUUUGUGGGGUGCUCGAGUGGCGAACGGGUGAGUAACACGUGAGUAACCUGCCCUUGACUUUGGGAUAACUUCAGGAAACUGGGGCUAAUACCGGAUAGGAGCUCCUGCUGCAUGGUGGGGGUUGGAAAGUUUCGGCGGUUGGGGAUGGACUCGCGGCUUAUCAGCUUGUUGGUGGGGUAGUGGCUUACCAAGGCUUUGACGGGUAGCCGGCCUGAGAGGGUGACCGGCUACAUUGGGACUGAGAUGCGGCCCAGACUCCUACGGGGGGAAGCAGUGGGGAAUAUUGCACAAUGGGCGGAAGCCUGAUGCAGCAGCGCCGCGUGCGGGAUGACGGCCUUCGGGUUGUAAACCGCUUUCGCCUGUGACGAAGCGUGAGUGACGGUAAUGGGUAAAGAAGCACCGGCUAACUACGUG